GACGAACGCUGGCGGCGUGCCUAAUACAUGCAAGUAGAACGCUGAAGGAGGAGCUUGCUUCUCUGGAUGAGUUGCGAACGGGUGAGUAACGCGUAGGUAACCUGCCUGGUAGCGGGGGAUAACUAUUGGAAACGAUAGCUAAUACCGCAUAAUAGUAGAUGUUGCAUGACAUUUGCUUAAAAGGUGCAAUUGCAUCACUACCAGAUGGACCUGCGUUGUAUUAGCUAGUUGGUGGGGUAACGGCUCACCAAGGCGACGAUACAUAGCCGACCUGGGAGGGUGGUCGGCCACACUGGGACUGGGAAACGGCCCAGGCUCCUGCGGGAGGCAGCAGUAGGGAAUCUUCGGCAAUGGACGGAAAUCUGACCGAGCAACGCCGCGUGAGUGAAGAAGGUUUUCGGAUCGUAAAGCUCUGUUGUAAGAGAAGAACGAAUGUGAGAGUGGAAAGUUCACACUGUGACGGUAUCUUACCAGAAAGGGACGGCUAACUACGUG
rnacentral:rRNA from 1 species